rnacentral:rRNA from 1 species
GACGAACGCUGGCGGCGUGCCUAAUACAUGCAAGUCGAACGAGAGCGACCGGUGCUUGCACUGGUCAAUCUAGUGGCGAACGGGUGAGUAACACGUGGGUAACCUGCUCAUCAGAGGGGGAUAACAUCCGGAAACGGAUGCUAAAACCGCAUAGGUCUUCGAGCCGCAUGGCUUGAAGAGGAAAAGAGGCGCAAGCUUCUGCUGAUGGAUGUACCCGCGGUGCAUUAGCUAGUUGGUGAGGUAACGGCUUACCAAGGCCGUGAUGCAUAGCCGACCUGAGAGGGUGAUCGGCCACAUUGGGACUGAGACACGGCCCAAACUCCGACGGGAGGCAGCAGUAGGGAAUCUUCCGCAAGGGACGCAAGUCUGACGGAGCAACGCCGCGUGAGUGAAGAAGGUUUUCGGAUCGUAAAGCUCUGUUGUUAGAGAAGAACAAGUGCUAGAGUAACUGUUAGCGCAUUGACGGUAUCUAACGAGAAAGCCACGGCUAACUACGUG